CAGGCCUAACACAUGCAAGUCGAGCGAGAAAGGGGCCCCCCGGUAAAUCGGCGCACGGGUGAGUAACAGGUAGGUAAUUUACCCCCAGGUGGUGGAUAACCUUCCGAAAGGAGGGCUAAUACAGCAUAAGACCACGUCUUCGCAAGGAGAUGAGGUCAAAGCCGGCCUCUUCAUGAAAGCUGGCGCCAGGGGAUGAGCCUGCGGCCCAUCACGGUAGUUGGUAGGGUAAUGGCCUACCAAGCCUAAGACGGGUAGCUGGUCUGAGAGGAUGAUCAGCCACACUGGAACUGAGACACGGUCCAGACUCCUACGGGAGGCAGCAGUGGGGAAUCUUGCGCAAUGGGCGAAAGCCUGACGCAGCGACGCCGCGUGAGUGAUGAAGGCCUUCGGGUUGUACAGCUCUGUGGGGAGGGACGAAUAAGUGCUGGCUAAUAUCCAGCGCGAUGACGGUACCUCUUUAGCAAGCACCGGCUAACUCUGUGCCAGCAGCCGCGGUAAU
rnacentral:rRNA from 1 species